rnacentral:rRNA from 1 species
CAGCAGCCACGGUAAUACGGAGGGUGCAAGCGUUAAUCGGAGUUACUGGGCGUAAAGCGCACGCAGGCGGUUUGUUAAGUCAGAUGUGAAAUCCCCGAGCUUAACUUGGGAACUGUAUUUGAAACUGGCAAGCUAGAGUCUUGUAGAGGGGGGCAGAAUUCCAGGUGUAGCGGUGAAAUGCGUAGAGAUCUGGAGGAAUACCGGUGGCGAAGGCGGCCCCCUGGACAAAGACUGACGCUCAGGUGCGAAAGCGUGGGGAGCAAACAGGAUUAGAUACCCCUGAGUCCCUGUCUCUUAUACA